CAGUUUCCGUGACUUAUGUUCCUGUAACUUAAUAGAGACUUAUGAUUACAAAAAGAAAGACACAGUGUAGUAACACUUGACAUGAGAACUUCCACAUUGCACCCAUUACCUCCACUGUAAUUUUCCAGGUGACUAUAUCCUAUAUGCCACUGGUU